rnacentral:rRNA from 1 species
UAGGGAAUAUUGCGCAAUGGACGAAAGUCUGACGCAGCGAUGCCGCGUGAGUGACGACGCCUUUCGGGGUGUAAAGCUCUGUCAAGAGGGAAGAUUAUGACGGUACCUCUAAAGGAAGCAACGGCUAAUUACGUGCCAGCAGCCGCGGUAAUACGUAAGUUGCAAGCGUUAUCCGGAUUUAUUGGGCAUAAAGAGUGCGUAGGCGGCAUUUUAAGUCAGAUGUAAAAUCCCACAGCUCAACUGUGGACUGCAUUUGAAACUGGAAUGCUCGAGACUAGGAGAGGAAAGCGGAACUCACAGUGUAGCGGUGAAAUGCGUAGAUAUUGUGGGGAACACCAGUGGCGAAGGCGGCUUUCUGGACUAGUUCUGACGCUGAGGCACGAAAGCAUGGGGAGCGAACGGG